rnacentral:rRNA from 1 species
UACAGAGGUGGCAAGCGUUGUUCGGAAUUACUGGGCGUAAAGGGCGCGUAGGCGGCCAUCUAAGUCAGACGUGAAAUCCCCCGGCUUAACCUGGGAACUGCGUCUGAUACUGGAAGGCUUGAGUAUGGGAGAGGGAUGUAGAAUUCCAGGUGUAGCGGUGAAAUGCGUAGAUAUCUGGAGGAAUACCGGUGGCGAAGGCGGCAUCCUGGACCAUUACUGACGCUGAACUGCGAAAGCUAGGGGAGCGAACGGG